rnacentral:rRNA from 1 species
GUGCACGCUGGCGGCAGGCCUCACCCCUGCCAGUCGAGCGGCAGCGCGGGGGCAACCCUGGCGGCGAGCGGCGGACGGGUGAGGAAUUCGUCGGAAUCUGCCUUUUUGUGGGGGAUAACGUAGGGAAACUUACGCUAAUACCGCAUACGUCCUACGGGAGAAAGUGGGGGACCGCAAGGCCUCACGCAGAAAGAUGAGCCGACGACCGAUUAGCUAGUUGGUGGGGUAAAGGCCCACCAAGGCGACGAUCGGUAGCUGGUCUGAGAGGAUGAUCAGCCACACUGGGACUGAGACACGGCCCAGACUCCUACGGGAGGCAGCAGUGGGGAAUAUUGGACAAUGGGCGCAAGCCUGAUCCAGCCAUGCCGCGUGUGUGAAGAAGGCCUUCGGGUUGUAAAGCACUUUUGUCCGGAAAGAAAUCCCUGGAGCUAAUACCUUCGGGGGAUGACGGUACCGGAAGAAUAAGCACCGGCUAACUUCGUG